UAUUGGACAAUGGGGGGAACCCUGAUCCAGCGACGCCGCGUGAGUGAAGAAGUAUCUCGGUAUGUAAAGCUCUAUCAGAAGGGAAGAAGAAAUGACGGUACCUGACUAAGAAGCCCCGGCUAACUACGUGCCAGCAGCCGCGGUAAUACGUAGGGGGCAAGCGUUAUCCGGAUUUACUGGGUGUAAAGGGAGCGUAGACGGCUAAUCAAGUCAGAAGUGAAAACCCAGGGCUCAACUUUGGGACUGCUUUUGAAACUGAGUAGCUAGAGUGCAGGAGAGGUAAGCGGAAUUCCUAGUGUAGCGGUGAAAUGCGUAGAUAUUAGGAGGAACACCAGUGGCGAAGGCGGCUUACUGGACUGUAACUGACACUGAGGCUCGAAAGCGUGGGGAGCAAACAGG
rnacentral:rRNA from 1 species